rnacentral:rRNA from 1 species
UACAGAGGGGGCAAGCGUUGUUCGGAAUUACUGGGCGUAAAGGCGCGUAGGCGGCCUUCUAAGUCGAACGUGAAAUCCCCGGGCUCAACCCGGGAACUGCGUCCGAUACUGGAAGGCUUGAAUCCGGGAGAGGGAUGCGGAAUUCCAGGUGUAGCGGUGAAAUGCGUAGAUAUCUGGAGGAACACCGGUGGCGAAGGCGGCAUCCUGGACCGGCAUUGACGCUGAGGCGCGAAAGCCAGGGGAGCAAACGGG